UACGUAGGGUGCAAGCGUUAAUCGGAAUUACUGGGCGUAAAGCGUGCGCAGGCGGUGAUGUAAGACAGAUGUGAAAUCCCCGGGCUCAACUUGGGAACUGCAUUUGUGACUGCAUCGCUGGAGUGCGGCAGAGGGGGAUGGAAUUCCGCGUGUAGCAGUGAAAUGCGUAGAUAUGCGGAGGAACACCGAUGGCGAAGGCAAUCCUCUGGGCCUUACCUGACGCUGAGGAGCGAAAGCGUGGGUAGCGAACAGG
rnacentral:rRNA from 1 species